GGCUUAGCUGUCUCCUUUUUCUAGCCAAUGAAAUUGAUCUUUCCGUGCAGAAGCGGGAAUAACAACAUAAGACGAGAAGACCCUAUGGAGCUUUAGACACUAAGACAGAUCACGUCAAACACCCCACGUUAAUGGGCCGAACUAAGUGAGCCCUGUCCUAAUGUCUUUGGUUGGGGCGACCCUGGGGAGACAAAUAACCCCCAUGUGGAGUGGAAACACCAUAUUUCCAGAACUAAGAGCUAACCGCUCUAAGGAACAGAAUUUCUGACCAUUUUAGAUCCGGCUACUGCCGAUCAGCGGACCGAGUUA
rnacentral:rRNA from 1 species